AUUUUAAAUUAAAAAAUAUAAAUUCUUUCCAAGCAGAAAAGAAGGUUCUAGUGAAGAAAGUCUCCAAAAAGGUGGUUAAAAAAGGUCCUGAAGAGAUUCUGCCACCUAAAGUUCCUGAAGUGCCAAAGAAGCCCAAAGAGAUCACAAUAACAUCUAUGGCAAGGAGAGAAGGGAUUCUUGAAGAAAAAGAGGACAUAUAUGAAGAACCUAAACAGCCUUAUGAAGAAUGGGAAGAAGACUACGGAGAAGAUCAUGAUUAUUAUUUCAAGGAAGAAGGUUAUGAUGAAGGAGAAGCGGAAUGGGAAGAGGCUUAUGAAAAAAGAGAAGUAACUUAUGAAGAAAAACAAGUCAUUCAUGAAGAAGUGGUUGACGUUCCUAAGAAGCCUGUGCCCGAGCGAAAACUGCCAGCAUUUACAGCUGAAAAGAAAGAAAAGAAAGAAGUGACAGUUCAAAAAGGUAUGACUUUACUGCAAAACUAACAGGA
rnacentral:lncRNA from 1 species